AUUGAACGCUGGCGGCAGGCCUAACACAUGCAAGUCGAACGAGUGGCGGACGGGUGAGUAAUGUCUGGGAAACUGCCUGAUGGAGGGGGAUAACUACUGGAAAAGGUAGCUAAUACCGCAUACCAUCGGAUGUGCCCAGAUGGGAUUAGCUAGUAGGUGGGGAAAAGGCUCACCUAGGCGACGAUCCCUAGCUGGUCUGAGAGGAUGACCGGCAAAACUGGAACGGAGAAAGGGGCAGGAUUCGUAGGGGAGGCAGCGGGGGGAAAUAUUGCAAAAGGGGUGAAAGCCUGAGGCGGCCAGGCCGGGUGUAUGAAGAAGGCCUUCGGUUGGAAAAGUAUUUCAGCGGGGAGGCGUUACCUACAGAGGAAGCACCGGCUAACUCCGUGCCAGCAGCCGCGGUAAUAC
rnacentral:rRNA from 1 species